AGGGACAGGUGAAUCAUCGAAUCUUUGAACGCACAUUGCGCCCUUUGGUAUUCCACUGGGCAUGCCUGUUCGAGCGUCAUAUACCCCCUCAAGCCCAGCUUGGUGUUGGGCGUCUGUCCGUGCGUGACCGCGCGUGGACUCGCCCCAAAGUUAUUGGCAGCGACCCUGUCGGCUCCUUGCGUUGCACAUAGCGCCCAUGGAAGCCCCCAGCGGAACCGCGUCCAGCGAAUCGCACCCCCAGUUUUGACCUCGAAUCAGGUAGGGAUACCCGCUGAACUUAAGCAUAUCAAUAAGCGGAGG
rnacentral:misc_RNA from 1 species